UCCGCAAGGAAGUAAGAUCCCUGAAAGAUGAUCAGGUUGAUAGGUCUGAGGUGGAAGUGUGGCGACACAUGGAGCUGACAGAUACUAAUCGAUCGAGGACUUAACCACA
rnacentral:rRNA from 1 species